rnacentral:rRNA from 1 species
AUUGAACGCUGGCGGCAUGCCUUACACAUGCAAGUCGAACGGUAACGGGCCUUCGGGUGCCUACGAGUGGCGAACGGGUGAGUAAUGUAUCGGAACGUACCUUUCAGUGGGGGAUAACGUAGCGAAAGUUACGCUAAUACCGCAUAUUCUGUGAGCAGGAAAGCAGGGGAUCGCAAGACCUUGCGCUGAUUGAGCGGCCGAUAUCAGAUUAGCUAGUUGGUGAGGUAAAGGCUCACCAAGGCGACGAUCUGUAGCGGGUCUGAGAGGAUGAUCCGCCACACUGGAACUGAGACACGGUCCAGACUCCUACGGGAGGCAGCAGUGGGGAAUUUUGGACAAUGGGGGCAACCCUGAUCCAGCCAUGCCGCGUGAGUGAAGAAGGCCUGGUUGUAAG